CUACGGGAGGCAGCAGUGGGGAAUAUUGCACAAUGGGCGAAAGCCUGAUGCAGCCAUGCCGCGUGUGUGAAGAAGGCCUUCGGGUUGUAAAGCACUUUAGGCGAGGAGGAAAAGCGUACGGUUAAUAACCGUGCGCCGUGACGUUACUCGCAGAAUAAGCACCGGCUAACUCCGUGCCAGCAGCCGCGGUAAUACGGAGGGUGCAAGCGUUAAUCGGAAUUACUGGGCGUAAAGCGCGCGUAGGCGGUUUGAUAAGCGGAGUGUGAAAUCCCCGGGCUUAACCUGGGAACUGCAUUCCGAACUGUCAAGCUAGAGUAUGAGAGAGGGUGGCGGAAUUCCGAGUGUAGCGGUGAAAUGCGUAGAUAUUCGGAGGAACACCAGUGGCGAAGGCGGCCACCUGGAUCAAUACUGACGCUGAGGCGCGAAAGCGUGGGUAGCAAACAGGAUUAGAUACCCGUGUAGUCC
rnacentral:rRNA from 1 species